UCUUAUAGAAUUCUGAAAC
rnacentral:sRNA from 1 species